GAUGAACGCUAGCGGCAGGCUUAACACAUGCAAGUCGAGGGGCAGCGCGUUUGUAGCAAUACAGAUGGCGGCGACCGGCGCAAGGGUGCGUAACGCGUGAGCAACAUGCCCGUAUCAGGGGGAUAAGCGAUGGAAACGUCGUCUAAUACCGCAUAACAACAGAUGGGACAUCCCAUUUGUUUGAAAGAUACGUCGGAUACGGAUUGGCUCGCGAGACAUUAGCUAGACGGCGGGUAACGGCCCACCGUGGCGACGAUGUCUAGGGGUUCUGAGAGGAAGGUCCCCACACUGGAACUGAGACACGGUCCAGACUCCUACGGGAGGCAGCAGUGAGGAAUAUUGGACAAUGGUCGGAAGACUGAUCCAGCCAUGCCGCGUGAAGGCAGACGGUCCUAUGGAUUGUAAACUUCUUUUGUACGGGAGCAAUAAGGGCGUCGUGACGUCCGAUGAGAGUACCGUACGAAUAAGCAUCGGCUAACUCCGUGCC
rnacentral:rRNA from 1 species